CCUACGGGUGGCUGCAGUGGGGAAUAUUGCACAAUGGGGGAAACCCUGAUGCCGCAAAGCCGCGGGGACGAUAGAGGCCUUCGGGUCGUUAAGCUCUGUCCUUAGGGGAGAAAUUUGACGGUACCCUAGGGGGAAUGCCCGGGUAACUACCGGCCAGCAGCCCGGGUAAUUAGUAGGGGGCUAAGGGUAACCGGAAUUUCUGGGCGUAAAGGGUGCGUAGGCGGCCCUUGAAGUCAGAGGUGAAAGGCUAAGGCUCAACCGUAGUAAGCCUUUGAAACUGUAGGGCUUGAGUGCAGGAGAGGAGAGUGGAAUUCCCAGUGUAGCGGUGAAAUGCGUAGAUAUUGGGAGGAACACCAGUUGCGAAGGCGGCUCUCUGGACUGUAACUGACGCUGAGGCACGAAAGCGUGGGGAGCGAACAGGAUUAGAUACCCUUGUAGUC
rnacentral:rRNA from 1 species